GUAAGCCUGGCAGAGGGUGGGAGCCGAAGGGACAGGGAGGAGGAGGGGCCUGGGUAGCCCUGCUGUAGUCCCCACUCCCCCAACAGGCUGUUCUCUGGUUCCAAACUCCUGUCUAACUUCUUUUUUUUUUUUUUUUUUGGUAAUACAAUACAGAAAUAUAUCAGGGAUAUUUCAAAAUUCAACAUUUGAAUCUGUGAAUGUCUUAAGUACUCUAAACCAGACAUCUACUUUU
rnacentral:lncRNA from 10 species